UGCAAGUCGAACGGUAAGCUUUGUAGCAAUAUGAAGCCUAGAGUGACGUAAGGGUGCGUAACACGUAUGCAAUCUACCCUCAACAGGAGUAUAGCUCGGGGAAACUCGGAUUAACACUCCAUAAUAUUACGAAGUGGCAUCACUUUGUGAUUAAAACUGCGGUGGUUGAGGAUGAGCAUGCGUCUGAUUAGUUAGUUGGUGAGGUAACGGCUCACCAAGACGAUGAUCAGUAGGGGAACUGAGAGGUUGAUCCCCCACACUGGCACUGAGAUACGGGCCAGACUCCUACGGGAGGCAGCAGUAGGGAAUAUUGGUCAAUGGGUGAGAGCCUGAACCAGCCAUGCCGCGUGCAGGAAGACGGCCUUCUGGGUUGUAAACUGCUUUUAUCUGGGGAUAAAAAGCCCAUGCGUGGGACAUUGAAGGUACCAGAUGAAUAAGCACCGGCUAACUACGUGCCAGCAGCCGCGGUAAUACGUAGGGUGCAAGCGUUGUCCGGAUUUAUUGGGUUUAAAGGGUGCGUAGGCGGUCUAUUAAGUCAGUGGUGAAAUCCAACAGCUCAACUGUUGAUGUGCCAAUGAUACUGAUGGACUUGAGUACAGACGAGGUAGGCGGAAUUGACAGUGUAGCGGUGAAAUGCAUAGAUAUUGUCAAGAACACCGAUAGCGAAGGCAGCUUGCUAGCCUGUAACUGACGCCGAGGCACGAAAGUAUGGGGAUCAAACAGGAUUAGAUACCCUGGUAGUCCAUACAGUAAACGAUGAUUACUCGAUGUUGGCGAUACACAGUCAGCGUCUUAGCGAAAGCGAUAAGUAAUCCACCUGGGGAGUACGCCGGCAACGGUGAAACUCAAAGGAAUUGACGGGGGUCCGCACAAGCGGUGGAGCAUGUGGUU
rnacentral:rRNA from 1 species